GGGGAAUAUUGCGCAAUGGGGGCAACCCUGACGCAGCAACGCCGCGUGAGUGAAGAAGGUUUUAGGAUUGUAAAGCUCUGUCUUUGGGGACGAAACAAAUGACGGUACCCAAGGAGGAAGCCCCGGCUAACUACGUGCCAGCAGCCGCGGUAAUACGUAGGGGGCAAGCGUUGUCCGGAAUUACUGGGCGUAAAGGGCACGCAGGCGGUAUAAUAAGUCAGAUGUGAAAGUUUACAGCUUAACUGUGAAAGUGCAUUUGAAACUGAUAUACUUGAGUCUCGGAGAGGUAAGCGGAAUUCCUAGUGUAGCGGUGAAAUGCGUAGAUAUUAGGAGGAACACCGGUGGCGAAGGCGGCUUACUGGACGAGUACUGACGCUCAUGUGCGAAAGCGUGGGGAGCAAAC
rnacentral:rRNA from 1 species